UGGCUGUCGUCAGCUCGUGUUGUGAAAUGUUGGGUUAAGUCCCGCAACGAGCGCAACCCUUAUCCUUUGUUGCCAGCGGUUCGGCCGGGAACUCAAAGGAGACUGCCAGUGAUAAACUGGAGGAAGGUGGGGAUGACGUCAAGUCAUCAUGGCCCUUACGACCAGGGCUACACACGUGCUACAAUGGCAUAUACAAAGAGAAGCGACCUCGCGAGAGCAAGCGGACCUCAUAAAGUAUGUCGUAGUCCGGAUUGGAGUCUGCAACUCGACUCCAUGAAGUCGGAAUCGCUAGUAAUCGUAGAUCAGAAUGCUACGGUGAAUACGUUCCCGGGCCUUGUACACACCGCCCGUCACACCAUGGGAGUGGGUUGCAAAAGAAGUAGGUAGCUUAACCUUCGGGAGGGCGCUUACCACUUUGUGAUUCAUGACUGGGGUGAAGUCGUAACAAGGUAACCGUAGGGGAACCUGCGGUUGGAUCACCUCCUUA
rnacentral:rRNA from 1 species